rnacentral:lncRNA from 1 species
AAAGCCUCUAUAAGCGAGCUGUUCUUUAAGUGUAUUGGCUUCUGAUAAAUAUAAAAAACUUGGAGUCGCGCAGAACGGGCCGAACCAGACCGCUGCAGACAGGCAGGUCUGCAGACGCCAUAGCAACGUCGCGAGUCCCUCAGAACCGCCGAACCAGCCCGCUGCAGACAGCCAGGUCUACAGAGCCCAUAGCAACCGUCGCGAGUAGCGCGGAACGCGCCGAAUCAGCCCCCGCCCCCGCAGCAAUCCUCUGGACACCCCCCCACACACACUCCUCUGUACAGCCACCUGGUUCCACACUACAAAGACGCAGACACUGGACCACCAGACCACUGUACUGGUUUUGGGAUAUUAGACAACGGCAACACUGGACUCUGAUCUCUAUGAAUGAGAUGACACAGCUCUCUGCUUAUAGAUUGAAAGAGAAUGAAGAUUUCUCUGGUUUUGCCAUUAUUCCAAGCUUGCAAUGGAGUUGUUCACCAUUACUUAGAUUUUGACAGCAAUUUGAUAGCAGGCAGAAGAGUGUGAAGCUGUACAACAGAGGAAAGAGGUUUCAGGUAGGCUCUGAUUGUGAGCUAUUGGCUUCAGGCAGCUGUAGAUGGGCUAAUGAGAAUCAGGAUGUGUUCUGAUCGCUUAGCAGUGCACACUUGGCUUUCUUUAGUUAGUUCUAAGUUGGAAGUGGGACCCAAAACUAGGGAUAUUGUCAGUUACUAAUCAAGUCUUGGCUGUUUUGGUGACUGUUACCUGGAGUACUGGACCAGUUGCUUAUAGCAGUCUGACCUCCUAUAAGUUUGGCUAGCAGCUGGCUGGCCUCCUGGGCUGGUUAGUGGAGACAAUGGUUUGUUUUCCUG